rnacentral:rRNA from 1 species
UACGUAGGUGGCGAGCGUUGUCCGGAUUUACUGGGCGUAAAGCGUCCGCAGGCGGCCUGUUAAGUUGGGUGUGAAAGGUUGGGGCCCAACCCCAAGACGGCACCCAAUACUGGCAGGCUUGAGUCUCGGAGAGGAGAACGGAACUGCACGUGUAGCGGUGAAAUGCGUUGAGAUGUGCAGGAACACCAGUGGCGAAAGCGGUUCUCUGGACGAGCACUGACGCUGAGGGACGAAAGCCAGGGGAGCAAACGGG